rnacentral:rRNA from 1 species
UACGUAGGUGGCAAGCGUUGUCCGGAUUUACUGGGCGUAAAGAGCGCGCAGGCGGUCGUUCAAGUCGCGUGUGAAAGCCCCCGGCUCAACUGGGGAGGGUCACGCGAUACUGAUCGACUCGAAGGCAGGAGAGGGAAGUGGAAUUCCCGGUGUAGUGGUGAAAUGCGUAGAUAUCGGGAGGAACACCAGUGGCGAAGGCGACAUCCUGGACCGGUAUUGACGCUGAGGCGCGAAAGCCAGGGGAGCAAACGGG